AUGUAUGUCAGAAACACCGCUCGCAGUCUCCAUCGCAGCAAAACUCCGGCUCUCCUCAUAAAGCUGGACAUUGCCAAAGCUUUCGACACAGUUCGCUGGGACUAUCUACUCGACCUUCUGCGCCGUCUCGGCUUUCCUCCUAGAUGGCGUGCUCUGCUAUCCAGCCUCUUCUCCUCGGCCAUGUCUAGAGUAAUCCUUAACGGUAUCCCCGGUAAGGACUUUGCUCACGGCCAAGGACUUCGCCAAGGAGACCCGCUAUCCCCCCUACUUUUCGAUAUCGCCAUCGACCCGCUGCAACAAAUUCUGGAUAAAGCAACUGCGUCUGGUUUGAUGAGCGAA
rnacentral:rRNA from 1 species